UCCAUUGAGCCUCUCUCCCCUCCUUUUCCCGCACCCUCUCUCUCUCUCUCUGGUUUUGUGAAAGUUGUGCGGAUGUCGUCGUCGAUAUCAGUCGCCUCCAUUCCUCGCCAAAGACCAAAGCCUAAAAAACGCAUCAUUUUUGACCGACGCUAUGGAUGGCUGUAAUCUCUCUGGCUCUCUAGUGAAAUGGCACCUCACUCUCUAGCUGAAAUGGAACACCUCUUUUUCUGUCAUACUCUAAAACCAUCUCUCUAUGUUGUCAACUCCUAUCCUCCAACUCACUCGCUGCAAAUAAGUUUCCGUGACCCUAUUUGUUUUCUCUCUGUUUUUAAAUUUUUAUUUAUAGAUAUGACGAGUGGAAUGAUCCCUUAGAAGCAGCUCUCUCUGGUGGCCGUGGAAUGUUCUGCAUAUUGCCUCUUGCCAAAGCAUUGACGAACACCACUUGUCGAUCGAUUAAUUUUGCCAUGGAAUCUGCAUUGCAAAUGGUAGAAAAGCGAGAUUUUGGGUUCUCCUUCGAGCUGUUUAAAACAGGUGUGGAUGAUCAGUUUCAGAAGUUCAAGGCCUCCAUGAAGAGAAACAAUUUCAAUUUGUUGACAAUGAGAAAAGAGAACGUUGAUUUGGGUAGUCAUUGGAAAGAGAAAGUUUGAUUGUUCAAUUAAUGGCAUACUUAAAUAUUUAGAUGUGAGUUUUUCAAUUAUGAUUAUUCCAUGCUCCCUUGGAUGCAUUUCAUCCGUUCA